GUUUGCAGGUGGAGGUACGCCGUACACGCAACAGGAUUCUCCCUCCAUUUUCCCUUUCGCCCUUCGACUCCUCCUUUCCUCGCGCCGCGCCCUUCUUCUCCUCCCUGUCACAAUUGAUCCUUUACUGGGGGAUUUCUUCGACGGUCGUACUGAUGGAGAAGAAGAAGAUGAAGGGGGCGGCGGAUCCGAUCGUCUGCCCCGGGCACUCACGGCCGGUGAUGGAUUUGUUCUACAGCCCCCUCACUCCCGACGGAUUCUUUUUCAUUAGCGCCAGCAAGGAUGCAGAAGCCAUGCUGAGAAACGGUGAGACAGGGGACUGGAUUGGAACCCUCAAAGGCCACAAGGGUGCGGUGUGGAGUUGUUGCUUUGACUCCAAGGCUUUACGUGCAGCGACUGCUUCAGCUGAUUUCUCAGCCAAAAUAUGGGAUGCCUUGAAUGGUAAUGAGCUACACUCCUUUGAACAUAAGCACAUUGUCCGUGCGUGUGCCUUUUCUGAGGAUGCCCACCUCUUACUUACUGGAGGUUUUGAGAAACUUUUACGUAUAUAUGAUUUGAAUCGUCCGGAUGCAUCUCCAAAAGAAAUUGACAAGUCACGUGCUUCUGUCAGAACUGUAGCUUGGCUUAAUAAUGACCACGCAAUACUAAGUUCUAGUUCUGAUAUCGGAGGCAUGAGGUUAUGGGAUGUGAGAAGUGGUGAAAUUGUUCGAACACUUGAGACUGGAUCACCUGUCUCUAGUACAGAAGUUAGUCAAGAUGGUCGGUUCAUCACUACUGCCGAUGGCUCAACUGUCAAAUUUUGGGAUGGCAACAGUUUUGAACUCAUAAAAAGCUACAACAUGCCAUUCAACGUGGAAUCUGCUUCACUGGAGCCAAAGUUUAAAAGGUACAUUGCUGGAGGAGAAGACAUGUGGGUUCAUGUCUUUGAUUUUCACACAGGAGAUGAAAUUACAUGUAAAAAAGGCCACCAUGGGCCUAUCCACUCUGUUCGCUUCUCUCCUGGUGGUGAAUCGUACUCUUCUGGAUCCGAGGAUGGCACCAUUAGAAUAUGGCAAAUGGAGCGCACUGCUGUCAAUAAGAAUGAGAUGUCCCAAAAGAUUGAAGAAAUUCCACUUUAUAAGGACGGAACGCAGUGAGGAUUACGAUACUGCUGUGAACUGGUUAUAAUCAGGGUUGUCCGGUUUUUCUCCUAUUCUCCAUUGAAUGAGGUUUUCAGCAUCCGGUUUGCCAGCAUCUUUAACAUCAGAUCGUUUUGUCUGUUGGGGAAACAAGCUAGACGAAAUUCUUGCAUGAAUGCCCCUCUAGAAGGCACUUUUAACCUUGUGCUUUGUGACUAAAUCUUAUCAUGGAGAAAUAGAGAAAUGGAAGAAGCUUUUUGGUGUUUUCUGAUGCUGUAGUUUGCUUGACUAUUGUUGCUGAGAAUAUACCAUUUUAUGUCUCGCAUCUGUGAGAAGAAGCUUACGUCUUCACCCUGCUAGAGAUCUGCGAUGAUGGCCUUUCUCCAAUGUUCUUUCUGUACUGAUGUAAUUGUUGUGUUUUGUUGCACUUGAGAGGAUGUUGCAUACGAGAAUACACUGUCACUAGUUGAUUAACAAUGAACAGAUCCGCUGCCGAUUCAAUAUUCUCCAAGAGAAGACAUGAUUUGGGUGAAUUGAGGGCACAGAUGGCAGAUGAGCUUCAAUCUCGAUAAAGUUAAAUGAUCAGGACAUUUCAAAUUUGGGAAUGCAUUUUAUUUUUUCUAGAUAGUAUCCAAUGUGUUUGGUAAAAAUAGCAGUCAUAUAUAAAGUUGUAUUGAAAGGAAGAAGGAAAGGCACUUUGUAUAAGUUAAAGGGUUUUGAGAUAUGCCUUGGAAAGGCCGAUUCACCGAUCAGUCUACCAAAUUUAUCAGUGCUUGAUGCUUGCGCUUGGAACUGAUGCCGUGAAUUGUCUACAUCAACUUAGUGCGGUUGCAGAGAGAGAAAGGCUGCAAAUGGAAUUUUUUUCUGGCUUUGCUAAGUGAUCUUCACCAAACAAGCAUUAGGACUUUUUCCGCAUCAACCUGAUCACUUUAGAUAUAGUCAUUGAACGGUUUCAGAUUGAAUCACCAGGUACUAUUCCCAACUUUUGUUUUUGCUUCUGAAGCAAGAUUCUAUACACAACCUAUGCAACUUUACAGUGACUAUUUUUUGUUAUUCCUAAUAUUUUUCUGAUAUUAUUAAUCCAUGUUUUUCUUGCGGUUUGAUAUAUUGCUAAUGUUGCAAAACAUGUAACGCAUCUGCUAGUAGUUUCUUGUGCUGUAAUUUUUCUUACUGAAAGUCCUUAUCAUAAAAUUCCAUUUUCUUCUAGUCCAAAGUCAUUGCUUAGGCCAUUUUAAUUAAUUGACUUACUAGAGAGCAUCUAGGAUAGGCUAUCCAUAUAAAAUCAUUGCUUAGGUUAUAGUUUCGCCUUCUUGGUUGUUGUCUGAGACUAUUUUGAUGUUUCGCUACUCCAAUAUAAUUGUCUUUUGCUGGUAAAUGUGAAUGGACGCUUUGCAAAAUACCGCCGCCUUGGUUGUUGUCUGAGACUAUUUCGAUGCUUUACUACAAAAUAGUUGCCUUUUGCUGGUAAAUGUUAAAUGGACGCUUUGCAAAAUACCGCCGCCUUCUUCUGAAGCACCUUUUAUCCAUUCUAUCAAAAUAAUAAUCAAUCAUUUGCUCAGUUGAUCUGAAAAAGAAGUGGGUUAUUUAAGUUCUCUACCCACUCUAUGUAUGGUCUCUGCAUCUUUGUCUAACUCAAACAUCUCUGUUAGCGAUGGCUUUGUAGGUCCUAGCUAUGAAGCUUUAUUCUGGGUAUAGUAGAGCCCUAGUGGUCUUCUCAUUCUCGAGGAGUACAAUUAGUGGCCUUUUGAACUGAAGCACAGCUCAAGCUCCUAGUUUCAUGUUUAGCAAACACUCCACUAUUGCAGUUCUCGCAUACAGGAUGUUUCAAACUCAAGGGGUCAAUUUGCUUUUCUCUCUUUCUUUUUUUCUCCUUUCUUAGUGCAAAUAAGUGGGUUCUUUACGCUGUUUAAUACCUCUAAAAAGCAAGAAGAUGAGCAAUUAUUAUAUCCGAAUACAGAACACUCUUAGGUCAAAGUUCUCAUCCACUGGCCAAGUAGUGGAGUCCAUUCCAGGUGCUUCUAGGUUUUUUUUUUUUCUUUUUUUUUUCUUUCUUUCUUUUUUUGGCCCUUUUUUGGCAAUUUGGACUGAUCCAAUUGUGCAAUUGGUGUCCGCUGUUUCUACGAGACAGGCUAUAUCGUUUGCAGCGUUGGUGAGCGAUAGAAAAUGCAUUAAUCUCCUCUCCAUCCAGGCGAAGUGUGCGCGGUAGUACUGGUAUCAAACCAGAUCUAGUCAGCGACUUCUCCAGAUCAAGGAUUUGACUUAACUUCAUUAUAGUCUUAUUAUGAUUAAUAAUAAUAAUAAUAAUAAUAAUAAUAAUAAUUAGGUUAAUUUGUAUCACCUAAAAUUACAACGGAGACACAUCGGCUGUGUCUUUCCCUAUUGCAAUUUGCAGCAUCCCAAAAUUCCCUAUGGAGAGGCAGAAAGGGGGAUAAAAAGCAUUUGUGCAGCGGAAAGGAGAUUAUUCAAUCCUGUACUGAAGCAUCCACUAGGAGCACGUCCUGACGGUGGCAAGUACACACGAUGAUUUACGACCCUCAAUUGAAAGCCCAAAAAAA